GUGCUCACUUCAGCAGCACACGAACAUCGGAAGGAUAAAGAGAAGAUUAGUAUGGCCCCCGCUCAAGGAGGACAUGCAAAUUCGUGAAGUGUUCCAGAGUCUG
ensembl:snRNA U6 U6 spliceosomal RNA